rnacentral:tRNA from 1 species
UGUAAAUUUAUUAAAGAUAAAAUAUUAUUUUUAUAAUAUAAUUUUUAUUUUUAAUAAUAUUUAUAU